AGCAGCCGCGGUAAUUCCAGCUCCAAUAGCGUAUAUUAAAGUUGUUGCAGUUAAAAAGCUCGUAGUUGAAUUUCGGGAUCAAUAUUUCGGUCAUGCCGUUGGUAUGCACUGUUAUCAUUGAUUUCUCACCUUCUAAAGAACCGUAAUGCCAUUAAUUUGGUGUUACGGGGAAUUAGGACUGUUACCUUGAAAAAUUAGAGUGUUUAAAGCAGGCUCGCGCUUGAAUACAUUAGCAUGGAAUAAUGAAAUAGGACGUUGAUCCCAUUUUGUUGGUUUCUAGGAUUGACGUAAUGAUUAAUAGGGAUAGUUGGGGGCAUUAGUAUUCAAUUGUCAGAGGUGAAAUUCUUGGAUUUAUUGAAGACUAACUACUGCGAAAGCAUUUGCCAAGGAUGUU
rnacentral:rRNA from 1 species